rnacentral:tRNA from 1 species
GCCUGAGUGGCUCAGUCGGUUAAGCGUCCGACUUCGGCUCAGGUCACGAUCUCGCAGUCCGUGAGUUCGAGUCCCUCGUCAGGCU